UGGCAUCCUGCUAGACUGGGACAGAUGCUGCUUGAGAGUAAUAGAGAGGUUCAGAUUCCAGAGGAGAAGAAGAUGAAGAAGAGCCAGAAAAAGGAAGGAAGGUGACAAACAUAAUCCUUGAGAUAAGAAGGAGGGUUAUGCUGCCUUCCAGACUUUCUGGAAACAGCAUGUGCUGUAGGAGAAGAAAUGGUAGGAGGAGGAUAUCAGGAUGGAAAGGUGGACUGGAAAUAGGAAGACUGGAAGAGGGAACAGAACUGGAUGAGGGAGAAGAAUUGGCAGAAGGAGAAGGAAGAGAGGAACAAGUUGGAAAAGACAAAUCUGACUCAGAAAGUGGAUGCUCAGAAGAAGGAACAAAAGGGAAAGAAGCAGUAGGGGUAAC
rnacentral:lncRNA from 1 species